rnacentral:rRNA from 1 species
UGGGGAAUAUUGGACAAUGGGCGAAAGCCUGAUCCAGCCAUGCCGCGUGUGUGAAGAAGGUCUUCGGAUUGUAAAGCACUUUAAGUUGGGAGGAAGGGCAGUAAGCGAAUACCUUGCUGUUUUGACGUUACCGACAGAAUAAGCACCGGCUAACUCUGUGCCAGCAGCCGCGGUAAUACAGAGGGUGCAAGCGUUAAUCGGAAUUACUGGGCGUAAAGCGCGCGUAGGUGGUUCGUUAAGUUGAAUGUGAAAGCCCCGGGCUCAACCUGGGAACUGCAUCCAAAACUGGCGAGCUAGAGUAGGGCAGAGGGUGGUGGAAUUUCCUGUGUAGCGGAGAAAUGCGUAGAUAUAGGAAGGAACACCAGUGGCGAAGGCGACCACCUGGGCUCAUACUGACACUGAGGUGCGAAGGCGUGGGGAGCAAACAGG